ACAGCAGUAGCCGCGGUAAUACGUAGGUGGCAAGCGUUGUCCGGAAUUAUUGGGCGUAAAGGGCUCGCAGGCGGUUUCUUAAGUCUGAUGUGAAAGCCCCCGGCUCAACCGGGGAGGGUCAUUGGAAACUGGGAAACUUGAGUGCAGAAGAGGAGAAUGGAAUUCCACGUGUAGCGGUGAAAUGCGUAGAGAUGUGGAGGAACACCAGUGGCGAAGGCGACUCUCUGGUCUGUAACUGACGCUGAGGAGCGAAAGCGUGGGGAGCGAACAGGAUUAGAUACCCCUGUAGUCCCUGUCUCUUAUAC
rnacentral:rRNA from 1 species